CUUGCUUCUCUUGAGAGCGGCGGACGGGUGAGUAAUGCCUAGGAAUCUGCCUGGUAGUGGGGGAUAACGUUCGGAAACGGACGCUAAUACCGCAUACGUCCUACGGGAGAAAGCAGGGGACCUUCGGGCCUUGCGCUAUCAGAUGAGCCUAGGUCGGAUUAGCUAGUUGGUGGGGUAAUGGCUCACCAAGGCGACGAUCCGUAACUGGUCUGAGAGGGUGAUCAGUCACACUGGAACUGAGACACGGUCCAGACUCCUACGGGAGGCAGCAGUGGGGAAUAUUGGACAAUGGGCGAAAGCCUGAUCCAGCCAUGCCGCGUGUGUGAAGAAGGUCUUCGGAUUGUAAAGCACUUUAAGUUGGGAGGAAGGGUUGUAGAUUAAUACUCUGCAAUUUUGACGUUACCGACAGAAUAAGCACCGGCUAACUCUGUGCCAGCAGCCGCGGUAAUACAGAGGGUGCAAGCGUUAAUCGGAAUUACUGGGCGUAAAGCGCGCGUAGGUGGUUUGUUAAGUUGGAUGUGAAAUCCCCGGGCUCAACCUGGGAACUGCAUUCAAAACUGACUGACUAGAGUAUGGUAGAGGGUGGUGGAAUUUCCUGUGUAGCGGUGAAAUGCGUAGAUAUAGGAAGGAACACCAGUGGCGAAGGCGACCACCUGGACUAAUACUGACACUGA
rnacentral:rRNA from 1 species